AACGAACGCUGGCGGCGUGCCUAACACAUGCAAGUCGUGCGAGAAAGUUCCUUCGGGAGCGAGUAAAGCGGCGCACGGGUGAGUAACACGUAGGUAACCUGCCCCCCAGUCUGGAACAACUAGAGGAAACUCUAGCUAAUGCCGGAUGAGACCACGAUCCCUUCGGGGGUUGCGGCCAAAAGAUGGCCUCUACUUGUAAGCUAUCGCUGAGGGAUGGGCCUGCGGGCCAUUAGCUUGUUGGUGAGGUAACGGCUCACCAAGGCUGUGAUGGCUAGCUGGUCUGAGAGGAUGACCAGCCACACUGGGACUGAGACACGGCCCAGACCUCCUACGGGAGGCAGCAGUGGGAAUAUUGCGCAAUGGGCGAAAGCCUGACGCAGCGACGCCGCGUGGGUGA
rnacentral:rRNA from 1 species